AACAAACAAAUACAACAGCUUUUAGAUUUGUUGGUUCUUUGCAUUACUUUGUUUCUAUCUCCUUAAUUUCUUCUCCAAUUUUUGUUAUUUCUCACCAUCUACUUGACUUCUGUCUGCUUUGUUCUUGUUCUUUCAAAUUCUUGAGUUGCCUCAUUUGGCCAGUUAUUUGUGCUCAUUCUGACUUUUUUUAAUGUAGGAGUUUAGACCUAAUUAUAUUGCUCAUGGAAGUAUAUUUAAUAUGUAUCUGAGAUUUUCUUGUGUUCUUUUGUUUUUAUUUAAUUCAAAGAUUCUUUCCCUUCUUUUUUUAUGUUUGAAGGUUGUUUAAUCUCUGUGGGCUUGUAUGUGCCUAAGUACUGGGAAUUCCUGUGGCCCUCAUUUUAGGUUCCAUUCCAGGGUAGGCACAUAGGAUGCGUUGAGUAAUUUCAAUUUUUUACCUGGGUUAAGGUUUAUUUUCUAUUCCAGGAUAUGGUCUGUUUUAGGAAGAUUUCCUGAGGUGCUGUAUAUGUGUAUAUUCUUUGGCAUAUGUGUAAUAUGCACACAGAUAUCUCUUAAGCUCAUUAGGUGUAUAAUGUCCAUUAUUUCUGAUAUUUUUCUUUUUCUUGUCCACAGAGCCAGUAUACUGGAGAACAUGUGGUAAUGACAUCUUCAGGAUUCGGUGCAUUGAAGAUGCUGUUUUGACUGUUCAUAUUGUUUUUACUUCUAAGAUAUGACUUCAGCAUGCCCACAUCUUACUUUUUUUAUGUGUUUGGUGUGAGAGUCUGGCCUGUUCCAGGCUGGGCCAGUGCAACAACUGUUUAAGCAGAACUAGUAAUAGGGCAUUUGGAGACGGUACAGAUGGGCUUGUUUGUGGAAAAACUCCCUAAGGAAACUCAGCCAGAAGCUACACAUCUAGUGUAGCCUGACAACGUAGACCUACUGUGGGCUGGCUGGUUCCCUUGGGAGUCACCAGGAAAUGUAGGUCCCAGUUGCUGGAGUUGGCUUAAAGGAUGCUUAAGGACAUAGAACAAUUGAGACAAGAUCUUGUGCAUAAACUGAAAGCUACCGUCUCCACUGAUGAUAAGAUUUUUGGUUUCUUACCCGCUGUCAGAAGAAACCAACCCUCAGGACUAGCCUAAGACCAGGCUCCUAUAAUUGUUAAACUACCUCUGUCCAGAUGAAAGAAGACCCAGAGACCCUGGUAACAAAAGGGGGAAAUUGCUGUCUUCCAUAUUGCCUGGAUAAAGAGACAGACAUCCAGGAGCCUUGGCUGUCACCCUGGAACAUACUCCUCCUGCUUAAGAGGAAACAUGGGGCCUUCAAUUCUCGAGUCUGAUUCAUCCAGAGAUACAGGUGUACAGGGUCUUGGAUCUGAAAGAUGUACUCUUUAUUCCCUCAUUGGCAGAGGCUGUUGACCUGGCUGCCUGACAAACAGUCCUCAGACCAGCGGGACCUAUUGAUAUUCUGAUGACAUUUCACAAACAUGGUACUGCCUGAGACUCCAUGGUGAAGAAGAAAUGGACAGCUCAAACGGUCAGGUUGGUGGAGGCCACCGGAGGGAAGGAUCAUUCUCCUAGAAGCAACUGACAGGACUCUGGGAACUGAAGUUCACCAGGCUUCUGAUCCAGGGUCCACAAAACUCUCUGAGUUUCCCAGACCAAGUGCUUGGAUUGUACAACAUAGCAUCGUCCUCCAGGCUGCAACCAUGAGUUUUCCCAGUCAAGUUGUACAGAUGUCUGGUCAUGUUAAGUGAAAUGAGUCUCCUGGUGGGCCUGUGGCCCUGGCUUUAGAAGACCACCUGUGGAACUUUCCAACUGAGGGCUCUUCAGAGUGGCAGAGAAGCUGCUGAUCUGUUGCCCUGGCUGUAGUAGAUCUCCUGGGAGGCCUUCAGACUGGUAGAUCUUCAGAGGAGCAGUCAAGUUGUUGUCCUGUGCGAAGAUGUUCUCCACGGGGACCUAUGUACUGUGGUUUCUGUAUCCCUAUGUGCAGCAGCACUCCUGGGAGGCUUUCAGUCUGUCGGGUCAGUUGCCCUGCAUGCCACAGAGCCUCUGGAAGGUCUUUAGACUGUGGUGUCUUUUGUCCAGUUGCCCUGUAUACAGAGGAACUCCUGGGAUGCCUUCAAGCUGUGGUGUCUUCAGGGGAACAGACAAGCUGGUGAUCAGUUGCCCAGCUGUUCUGAGUGCAGCAGAUCUUCUGGGAUGGUUCAGGAUAUAGUGUCUUCAGAGGACCAGACGAGAUAGCAGUCUGCCCCCCAGCAGAAAGAGGAGAGUGGUAUUUGGUGGGCAGGGGUUUUGGUGGGUGAUGGGUCCCAAGUCCACUGGCCUCCCAAUGGGAGCUCUGGGACUUGGGGAGUAGGGUCUUACCAACUGCUCUGAGUGCAGCAAAUCCUUUAGGAUUCAUUGAAUCAUGAUAUGGUGUUUUCAGGGGAGCAGACCAGCUAGCAACCUACCCCAGCAGAAAGAACUAGGCAGAAGGGCAAUAAUUUGUUCUUAUUGUUAAGAGUUUUUCUGAUGGGCUUUUCCCCUGUAAAUAAGCAAAAAUGGUGAGAGAUGGGCUGAAUAGAUUCCUGAAUUCAAAGCUAGUUUACUCUGCCUUGCUGUUCUAGUUGCUUUGUGGAAAAAAAAAACACUAUCAAGCAGCCAACUGAACCCCCCUGCUGCCCAUUUUGAGAAGGCUUGGUUGUGGCCUGGCCAGCAACUGUUUCAAGUAGCUUUUGAGGACUUUGCCAGAAACCUUUUGCUUCAUGCUUACUUGCUAAAUAUGGACUGUUGUAAACUGGUGCAAAAGAGACAAUGGACGCUUGGUGUGAAUGUAAUCCUUUGUUGACUUGAAGGCUACUGUGAUUGGUGUAAACACUUCUUGUAUAGCUACAGAAGCAGGUUGUUCAGCUCACUUAGUGAGCCAGCCAGAAGGCACCCUUCUGUACUGCCUCCCCUGGUUUGCAAUGUCAGGCAAGGAGGACAGCUUUUAUAGAGUGGAAUUGCGCUAGCUAUUUUUGAUAUUCAUCAUUAGUACAGUUGGCAAUAUGAGGAAGAAGUGGACAUAACAUUGAUAGCCACAGAAGAAUCACCAUGACACAAAAAGAAGGAACUAGGGAAUGAGAAGAGACCUAGGGAUACAGAAUAGAAGACUUUAAAUAGCCAAGGACUGAAUGUGUUCCAAAAAGUUUCUUACAAUAAAGCAAGUGCAAAGGGUCUCAGUUAACACUGGCCAGUAUGAAGAACUAGUGAAUCCUGAAACCUAGACUCAGAAGCCACAAUGCUAUUCACUGCCAAGGGCUGAUGAGUCCUGAGUUCCUAGACUACACAGGAGCUGUAACACUUGUAGGGAAAGCAUCCUAGAAUCUUAAGGACACAGAAGAGCUGGAAAACCAUAGUGGACCAUCUGCGGCUGCUCUUGUCUGUCUGCUUUUUCUGCUUUGUAUUGACAGGUGACAAGGAAUAUAAACUCUGCCAGAGACCUGGUACUCUUCUUCUACCAAUGAUUGCCACCCCAGUAAAACAAAAGGACCCCAACAGAGGAUGGUUAACACUUCCAUCAUAAUGUGAACAAAAUUGGCAAGUGAAAGAAUACAUUUACAUUUGCAUUCUUCCUAUAUUUCUUCCUUCAUUUAGUGAUUUGUCUUACUAUCUUUCUAAAAAUGUUUCCAUAGCAGAAUUUUUAAAGAUCUAUAUUUCAUUGUCAUAUAUAUACACAUACAUACAUACAUACAUACACACAUAUAUAUGUAUACACACACACAUGUGAGUAAAGUUGUUUGUGAAGUCUAGAAGAGGGUAUCAGAUCUCCUGGAGUUGUAUGUACUUAAAGGUUUCUGUGAACCAUCUGACAUGGGUGGGUGCUGGGAUCUGAACUCUGGUCCUCUGAAAGAGCAGAAUAUGCAAGUAACUCUAGCCCUCAGCAGUAGAUUAUCAAGAUUAAGCAUACUCCAAUAAAUAUUUUCCAGUUUGUUUGGCUUGUUUGCAUUUGCAGGUGUCUUGAUUGAUCCUGUCCUUCUAGAAAUAUGUUUAAGCAGAUAUGAAAUUAAUAGUUAAGAAUUUAUUUAUUUUGUCAUGUAGAAAUGCAUAGUAUAUCCUUUGAGAGUACAUGGUUUCCAAUAAAAACAUAUUGCUAUUCAGUUUGGUACAGUAUUCUAUUGGUAUACAUGAUGAAUAAUGACAUAUAGUCAAAUUAUCAUUUUUCUGUCUAAAAGUUUUAUAUUUUUCAUUUCAGAAGUUUAUGAUGAUCUUAGCAUGUAUCUCUUUUGAUUUAUCUAUCAAAAUAUCAUUCCACUUCUUGAUUAUCUGUAUGUCUUGCAUUAAUUUGAGAUAUUUCAAUUAAUGACUUUCUCAAAUAUUCCAUUUUACUUUCUUUCCCUCUCUUUCUGGAACUUAGAAGAGACGUGUUAUCUUCUGUGAAACUGUAUGAAACCCCUUCUAUCUGUUUUAUCUCUAUUUUUCAGAUUGAGCAGUUUCUAUUCAUUUUAUGCAAACUCUGUCUUCUAUCAUGCUCAUUCUACCAAGUUUUUACUUAUUUCAGUUAAUAUUAAUUUUCCAGUUUUAUAGUUUCAUUUUGGUCUGCCAAUAUUGCCCAGUGGAUAGGGAAACUUGCUGCCAAGCCUGAUGAGCUAGGAUCCAUCUCCAGGACCCACAUGUUAAGAACCAAUUCCUGAAAGAUGUACUCUGAUCUCUUCAUGUAUACUGUCACUUAUACAUACACAUACACACACACACACACACACACACACACACACACACCAACUAAAUAAAGGUUAAAAUGUUUAGUUUAGUCCUUUUUAAUGAAUUCCAUUUAUUUUAUUUAUUUUUACUCUUUAAUUUUUUUAAAUAUUUAUUUAUUUUUAUUCUAUGUAUAUGAAUGUUUUGCCUGUAUAUAUGUCUGUGCACCACAUGCAUGUCUUGUGCUCAUAAAGGGGACUGGGUGGGGUUAAGAGUGGGAAUGGUAACAGGAAGGAUCAGAUGUGAGGAGGAUGGAAGGAGAGGGAACUGGGAGAGGCAACUGGAUUGACAGGGGCAUCUCUGAGAUGAGCUAGAAACCUAGGGCAAUGGAAACUCCUAAGUAUCAGUGAGGGUGGCCCUACCUGAGACUCCUAGUGAUGGGGAUAUGGAGCCUGCACCAGCCAUCUCCUGUAACCAGGUAAGAUUUCUAAUGGAGGGAUUGGGACACCAACCCAGCUACUAACAUUCUACCUACGAUUUGUCCUGCUUGAAAGAUGUGCUAGGGUAAAUGUAAAAAUUGUGGGAGUAGCCAACCAAUAACACUCCAGUUUGAGACCCACACCAUGAGAAGGUCCCUGAGGGCCAGGAGCCAGAGGCAGAAUAGCCCAGGGACCUAUGAUAGAACCAAACACGAGUAGCAAAAAUUGUCACUGAAAUGAUCCCUAAUGAUAUUCUGUAUACUCAUAAGAUCAGUGCCUAGCAUAACUGUUCUUUGAGAGGUUUCACCCUGCAAGUGAUGAAAACAGAUGCAGAAAGCCACAGCCAACCAAACAUUAUGCAGAUCUGGGAAAAUCCUGUAGAAGAGAGGGAAGAAGGACGGUAGAAGCCAGAGUAGUUAAGGACAACACAAGAAAACCAAUAGAAUCAACUACCUUGAACCCAUAGGGGCUCACAGAGACUGAUCUGCCAACCAGGGAUCCUGCAUGGGAGUGACCGAGAACCUCUGUACAUAUGUUACAUUGUGUAGCAUGAUCUUCCUGUGGGACACCUAACAGUGGGGGUAAAGCUAUCUCUGACUCUGUUGCCUGACUUUGGAACCCUUUUCUCCUACUAGGUUGCCUUGUCUAGCCUUACUAGAAGAGGAGGUGCCCAGUCUUACUGCAACUUGGCCUUAUGCCAGUGGUCCUGACUGGAACAGCCAUGCCAUGUGCAGAAGACAGCAUUUCAAAGCACUCCUUUCCAUGUUCCUAAACUCAAAAUCUGUCCACUCUUUCUUUCAUGAUGUUCCUCGGUUUGGAGCGGCAAUCUGAUGUCCUCUUUAGGGCUGAGAGCUCAAGUCACUUGCUUUCAGCACAUCAACCAGCUCGACAGCUUCCAAGCUCAGCUUUGAAAGUCCUUCAUUAAUUAAGCAUAUCCUCAAUUGGUAGAUCCAGAUUUUCUGUUGUAAACAGGAGGAGCUAUGGAGCUGGAGAAAGCUAGCCAUGUAAAGCAGAUGCAGACUAGACUAGACCUGCUGCCCAGAAGAAGCAGAAACCAGCCCAGCUGCCUGGACGAGUUUUAGAGCAGCGGAGUCACUUGGAAAGGAAAAUGGAAAACCUCCAACCUGCUGAGCUGCUUACAGACUGUGCAGUGUGCUCCAGAUUCCCAUUUUGUCCCCCACACUGAGGUUAACUGUGCCAACAGAGUAUCAGUUGUCUGAACAUGGUCAUGGCAGGAUGUAAAGUGAAUAUGUAAAAAAAUUAAGUUAAAAAACAAACAAACAUGGAAUUGCGUGUGAGGAGAUUUCUGAGUGAGAAAACUAAGAAACGAAGACAAAAGUCUGGUGACCUGAGUUUCUUCAGAAACAAGGAAUUGUUCUUGGAUUAUGCUUUUGCGCCCCUUUCAGGUGUAGCACAAAAGAAUGAACUGUCUCUGAGGUAUUGAAAUCACCUCCUAUUACUGAAAUGGGAAUAAAUUUGUACCUUGACAUCUAAUACUUUGAUUUUUAUGAAACUGGAUGUAUCAGAGGUUGGUACGUACAUGUUUAGGAUUGUAAUGUCUUCUUUGUUAAUUGUUCUUUUGAUCAAAGUGAAGUGUCAUUCUAUAUCUCUUCUGAAUAAUUUUAGAUUGACAUUUAUAUUGUCAUGUAUUAGGAUAGCAGCAACUUUUUGUUUCUUGGUCCUAUUUGCUUGGACUAAUUUUUUUUCAUACUUCACUCUCAAGUAGCACCAAUCCUUGAAGUUAAGAUGAGGGGUUUUUUUUCCAAGAAAACAAAAAAAAUGUUUUGUUUGUUGAUUUAUUCAACCAACCUCUGUCUUUCUAUUGGGGGAAAUUAAGGCCAUUAAUAUUUAAAGUAAGGUGUGUGACAAUUGCUGUCAUUUUGCUCUUUAAUUUUGCUAUUUCUGUUCUUAGUUUUAUUUUGUGCUUUGAUAAUUAUAACUUCAUUUGUUUUCUUCCCAGAGUCUCCUGAGUAUGAUUACUUAUUUUCUCUCUAGUCCAAAUAUUGCUCCCAGUAGUCUCUGUAGUGCUAGAUUGCUGGGUAUGAGUUCUUUCAGAUCGGUUUACAUGGUAAGUUGGUAUUUUUUUUCCUUCAACUAUGGCAGAUAGUUUUGCUGGGUAAAGUGGUCUGUAUUGCCAUCUGUAGUCUUUUAGAACUUGGAAUAUAUUAUUCCCAGUCUGCUGGCUUUAAAACUUUCCAUUGAGAAGUCAGUACUUAUUCUAAUGGGUUUGCCUUCAUGUGAGACUUGAGAUUUUUCUAUGAGGAAAAGGAGAAAGAGGCAUCCCAUGAUUUGAAGUGAGUUAAGAAACUGUGGGGGGAAAGGGUGUCCUGAGGAAGAUUUAGACUAACCAUGGAAAUGAAACUCUGGACAUGUUUGUGAGGGAUUUUCUACUUUAUGUUAGUUGAACUGAGAAGACCCACCCUAAAUAUGAGUGGUUCCAUUCCAUGGGCUGAUGUUCCAGACUGAAUAAAACAAAGAAAGGGAGCUGAGCACCAGUAUUUAUCUCUAUCUCCUGACUGCAGGUGCAAGAUAUCCAGCUACCUCAAGUUCCUGAUUCCACAUCCCCACACCUUGAUGGACUCUGAUUUUGAGUCAAAAUAAACCCUUCUUUCCUUAA